UACGUAGGGCGCAAGCGUUGUCCGGAAUCACUGGGCGUAAAGGGCGCGUAGGUGGCGCCCCAAGUCCGUGGUGAAAGCUCGAUGCUCAACAUCGAGUCGGCCACGGAAACUGGGGGGCUCGAGCACUGUAGAGGCAGAUGGAAUUCCGGGUGUAGCGGUGGAAUGCGUAGAGAUCCGGAAGAACACCGGUGGCGAAGGCGGUCUGCUGGGCAGUAGCUGACACUGAGGCGCGACAGCGUGGGGAGCAAACAGG
rnacentral:rRNA from 1 species